rnacentral:rRNA from 1 species
CCUACGGGAGGCAGCAGUGAGGAAUAUUGGUCAAUGGACGCGAGCCUGAACCAGCCAAGUAGCGUGAAGGAUGACGGCCCUAUGGGUUGUAAACUUCUUUUAUCUGGGAAUAAAGUGCGCCACGUGUGCCGCUUUGCAUGUACCCUACGAAUAAGGAUCGGCUAACUCCGUGCCAGCAGCCGCGGUAAUACGGAGGGUGCGGGCGUUAUCCGGAAUUAUUGGGUUUAAAGGGUGUGCAGGCGGCACGUUAAGGCAGGUGGUAAAUGCUGGGGCUUAACCCGGGGACUGCAGUUGAAACUGGGAGGCUUGAGUGAGGGAGAGGUAGGCGGAAUGCGUGGUGUAGCGGUGAAAUGCAUAGAUAUUACGAAGAACUCCGAUUGCGAAGGCAGCAUACCGGAGCGUAACUGACGCUGAGGCACGAAAGCGUGGGGAUCGAACAGGAUUAGAUACCCGGGUAGUC